rnacentral:rRNA from 1 species
GUGACAGCCGCCGCGGUAAUACGUAGGUGGCAAGCGUUGUCCGGAUUUACUGGGCGUAAAGAGCGCGCAGGCGGCUGGUCAAGUCCGAUGUGAAAGCUCCCGGCUUAACUGGGAAAAUGCAUUGGAAACUGAUCAGCUUGAAGAUGGGAGAGGGUAGUGGAAUUCCCGGUGUAGUGGUGAAAUGCGUAGAUAUCGGGAGGAACACCAGUGGCGAAGGCGACUACCUGGCCCAUUCUUGACGCUGAGGCGCGAAAGCUAGGGGAGCGAACGGGAUUAGAUACCCCUGUAGUCC